rnacentral:tRNA from 1 species
AAAGCAAGGCGCUGAAAAUGCCUAGAUGGGCUCACGGCCCCAUAAACA